CAACAGGCUGGCUGGUGACAAGGGGCAAAGGCUUUAGAUAGAAAAAGGGGGAAAAGUUUAAAAACAUACCAAUAACAAUUAGUUAAGGAGAGUAGCUGAGGACAGACAGGAAGUGAAUGUUAGAGAGAGGGAGUCAUUAGGAACAUAGGAAAAGAGAGAGAAGCUGAGAUUUGAGCUGCAGGUGGAGGUCCGUCAUCUUUGAACCACUGGAAGAGGCACGCUGACGCUGAUAAUUAAGACUCUGACAGAGACCAAGAGGACAGCCAUGUUUUCAGCCAGACCAGAGAUCCAGCCGUAAAAGACAAGAGGCGGUCGCCCCCCUCUAACAGAUCCCCCUCCGCCCCACAACGCAACCCUCACCACAGCGGCUCCACAGACGAACAGGAGAGCCCCGAGAGAGUGGUGAGACACACACACACACACACACACACACAGGGGAACCCAUUUGUAAACAUAAUCUGCAGGG
rnacentral:lncRNA from 1 species